AUUGAACGCUGGCGGCAUGCUUUACACAUGCAAGUCGAACGGUAACAGGCCGCAAGGUUCUGACGAGUGGCGAACGGGUGAGUAAUGCAUCGGAACGUGCCCUGGCGGGGGGCAUACCUACUCGAAGGAUUAGCUAAUACCGCAUACGAUCCUUGGAUGAAGGCGGGGGGCCGUAUGGCUUCGCUCGGUUGGGGGUUGCGUUGUCUGAUUAGGUAGUGGGUGGGGUAAAGGCCCACCAAGCCAACGAUCUGUAGCUGGUCUGAGAGGACGACCCGCAACACUGGGACUGGGACACGGCCCAGGCUCCGACGGGAGGGAGCAGCGGGGGAUGUUGGACAAUGGGAGCAAGCCUGAUCCAGAAACGGCGCGUGCAGGAAGAAGACCUUCGGGUUGUAAGCUGUUUUUGUACGGAACGAAACGGCUCUGGUUAAUACCCGGGGAUAAUGACGGUACCGGAAGAAUAAGCACCGGCUAACUACGUG
rnacentral:rRNA from 1 species